rnacentral:rRNA from 1 species
CCUACGGGUGGCAGCAGUGAGGAAUAUUGGUCAAUGGACGAGAGUCUGAACCAGCCAAGUAGCGUGAAGGAUGACUGCUCUAUGGGUUGUAAACUUCUUUUAUAUGGGAAUAAAAUGUUCCACGUGUGGGAUUUUGUAUGUACCAUAUGAAUAAGGAUCGGCUAACCCCGUGCCAGCAGCCGCGGUAAUACGGAGGAUCCGAGCGUUAUCCGGAUUUAUUGGGUUUAAAGGGAGCGUAGGUGGAUUGUUAAGUCAGUUGGGAAAGUUUGCGGCUCAACCGUAAAAUUGAAGUUGAAACUGGCAAUCUAGAGUACAGUAGAGGUGAGCGGAAUUCGUGGUGUAGCGGUGAAAUGCUUAGAUAUCACGAAGAACUCCGGUUGCGAAGGCAGCUCACUGGACUGCAACUGACACUGAGGCUCGAAAGUGUGGGUAUCAAACAGGAUUAGAUACCCCUGUAGUC